ACGCACAGGAACCUCGGGCCAGGCUGUGGGGUAGAAUGGGAGUUGAUGGAUUGAUUGACCAGGGAACACAUAGGAACUGCAGGCCAGGCUGUGGGGUAGAAAGGGAGUUGACUGAUUGACUAAUUGAUUAUAUUUAGUACUGGAAACACAUAGGAACCGCGGACCAGGCUGGGGGAGGAGGAAGAGGUUAAAUAUCACAUGCAACUUUCCGCACUUUCUGCACUUAAGGAGUCUGCAAAAAACUUCAGAAGAAUUAUAGAAAACAUGGACUUUUUAAUGGUAUACUAUCACCAAAAACUCAUAUAUGCUUCCUUACUAAUGAGACUUUCUAUACAACAAAGUGAGGUCAUUCUGUGUUGAUUUAUACCGUAAGGUGCUGGCUAUCAUGUGUUUGAAGAUACCCUAAACUUAACCUAACCUAACCUAACAAAACCCCAAACAGUCACUAUAGGUCUUGACUCAGAAAACUCAUAUAUGCUUCCUUACUAAUGAGACUUUCUAUACAACAAAGUGAGGUCAUUCUGUGUUGAUUUAUACCGUAAGGUGCUGGCUAUCAUGUGUUUGAAGAUACCCUAAACUUAACCUAACAUAACCUAACAUAACCCCAAACAGUCACUAUAGGUCUUGACUCAGAAAACUCAUAUAUGCUUCCUUACUAAUGAGACUUUCUAUACAACAAAGUGAGGUCAUUCUGUGUUGAUUUAUACCAUAAGGUGCUGGCUAUCAUGUGUUUGAAGAUACCCUAAACUUAACCUAACCUAACCUAACAAAAUCCCAAACAGUCACUAUAGGCCUUGACUCAGAAAACUCAUAUAUGCUUCCUUACAAAUGAGACUUUCUAUACAACAAAGUGAGGUCAUUCUGUGUUGAUUUAUACCAUAAGGUGCUGGCUAUCAUGUGUUUGAAGAUACCCUAAACUUAACCUAACCUAACCUAACAAAACCCCAAACAGUCACUAUAGGUCUUGACUCAGGAAAAUCAUAUAUGCUUCCUUACUAAUGAGACUUUCUAUGCAACAAAGUGAGGUCAUUCUGUGUUGAUUUAUACCAUAAGGUGCUGGCUAUCAUGUGUUUGAAGAUACCCUAAACUUAACCUAACCUAACCGAACAAAACCCCAAACAGUCACUAUAGGUCUUGACUUAGAAAACUCAUCUAUGCUUCCUUACUAAUGAGACUUUCUAUACAACAAAGUGAGGUCAUUCUGUGUUGAUUUAUAUCAUAAGGUGCUGGCUAUCAUGUGUUUGAAGAUACCCUAAACUUAACCUAACAAAACCCCAAACAGUCACUAUAGGUCUUGACUCAGGAAAAUCAUAUAUGCUUCCUUACUAAUGAGACUUUCUAUACAACAAAGUGAGGUCAUUCUGUGUUGAUUUAUACCAUAAGGUGCUGGCUAUCAUGUGUUUGAAGAUACCCUAAACAUAACCUAACCUAACCUAACAAAACCCCAAACAGUCACUAUAGGUCUUGACUCAGGAAAAUCAUAUAUGCUUCCUUACUAAUGAGACUUUCUAUGCAACAAAGUGAGGUCAUUCUGUGUUGAUUUAUACCAUAAGGUGCUGGCUAUCAUGUGUUUGAAGAUACCCUAAACUUAACCUAACAAAACCCCAAACAGUCACUAUAGGUCUUGACUCAGAAAACUCAUAUAUGCUUCCUUACUAAUAAGACUUUCUAUACAACAAAGUGAGGUCAUUCUGUGUUGAUUUAUACCAUAAGGUGCUGGCUGUCGUGUGUUUGAAGAUACCCUAAACUUAACCUAACCUAACCUAGCAAAACCCCAAACAGUCACUAUAGGUCUUGACUCAGGAAUAUCAUAUAUGCUUCCUUACUAAUGAGACUUUCUAUACAACAAAGUGAGGUUAUUCUGUGUUGAUUUGUGCCAUAAGGUGCUGGCUAUCAUGUGUUUGAAGAUACCCCAAACUUAACCUAACAAAACCCCAAACAGUCACUAUAGGUCUUGACUCAGGAAAUUCAUAUAUACUUCCUUACUAAUGAGACUUUCUAUACAACAAAGUGAGGUUAUUCUGUGUUGAUUUAUACCAUAAGGUGCUGGCUAUCAUGUGUUUGAAGAUACCCUAAACUUAACCUAACAAAACCCCAAACAGUCACUAUAGGUCUUGACUCAGGAAAAUCAUAUAUGCUUCCUUGCUAAUGAGACUUUCUAUACAACAAAGUGAGGUCAUUCUGUGUUGAUUUAUACCAUAAGGUGCUGGCUAUCAUGUGUUUGAAGAUACCCUAAACUUAACCUAACAUAACCUAGCAAAAUCCCAAACAGUCACUAUAGGUCUUGACUCAGAAAACUCAUAUAUGUUUCCUUACUAAUGAGACUUUCUAUGCAACAAAGUGAGGUCAUUCUGUGUUGAUUUAUACCAUAAGGUGCUGGCUAUCAUGUGUUUGAAGAUACCCUAAACUUAACCUAACCUAACCUAACAAAACCCCAAACAGUCACUAUAGGUCUUGACUCAGAAAACUCAUAUAUGCUUCCUUACUAAUGAGACUUUCUAUACAACAAAGUGAGGUUAUUCUGUGUUGAUUUAUACCAUAAGUUGCUGGCUAUCAUGUGUUUGAAGAUACCCUAAACUUAACCUAACAAAACCCCAAACAGUCACUAUAGGUCUUGACUCAGAAAAAUCAUAUAUGCUUCCUUACUAAUGAGACUUUCUAUACAACAAAGUGAGGUCAUGCUUUGUUGAUUUAUACCAUAAGGUGCUGGCUAUCAUGUGUUUGAAGAUACCCUAAACUUAACCUAACCUAACCUAACAAAACCCCAAACAGUCACUAUAGGUCUUGACUCAGGAAAAUCAUAUAUGCUUCCUUACUAAUGAGACUUUCUAUGCAACAAAGUGAGGUCAUUCUUUGUUGAUUUAUACCAUAAGGUGCUGGCUAUCAUGUGUUUGAAGAUACCCUAAACUUAACCUAACAAAACCCCAAACAGUCACUAUAGGUCUUGACUCAGGAAAUUCAUAUAUACUUCCUUACUAAUGAGACUUUCUAUACAACAAAGUGAGGUCAUUCUGUGUUGAUUUAUACCAUAAGGUGCUGGCUAUCAUGUGUUUGAAGAUACCCUAAACUUAACCUAACCUAACCUAACAAAACCCCAAACAGUCACUAUAGGUCUUGACUCAGGAAAAUCAUAUAUGCUUACUUACUAAUGAGACUUUCUAUACAACAAAGUGAGGUCAUUCUGUGUUGAUUUAUACCAUAAGGUGCUGGCUAUCAUGUGUUUGAAGAUACCCUAAACUUAACCUAACCUAACCUAACAAAACCCCAAACAGUCACUAUAGGUCUUGACUCAGAAAAUUCAUAUAUGUUUCCUUACUAAUGAGACUUUCUAUACAACAAAGUGAGGUCAUUCUGUGUUGAUUUAUACCAUAAGGUGCUGGCUAUCAUGUGUUUGAAGAUACCCUAAACUUAACCUAACAAAACCCCAAACAGUCACUAUAGGUCUUGACUCAGAAAAUUCAUAUAUACUUCCUUACUAAUGAGACUUUCUAUACAACAAAGUGAGGUCAUUCUGUGUUGAUUUAUACCAUAAGGUGCUGGCUAUCAUGUGUUUGAAGAUACCCUAAACUUAACCUAACAUAACCUAACAUAACCCCAAACAGUCACUAUAGGUCUUGACUCAGAAAAUUCAUAUAUGCUUCCUUACUAAUAAGACUUUCUAUACAACAAAGUGAGGUCAUUCUGUGUUGAUUUAUACCAUAAGGUGCUGGCUGUCAUGUGUUUGAAGAUACCCUAAACUUAACCUAACAAAACCCCAAACAGUCACUAUUGGUCUUGACUCAGGAAAAUCAUAUAUGCUUCCUUACUAAUGAGACUUUCUAUACAACAAAGUGAGGUCAUUCUGUGUUGAUUUAUACCAUAAGUCGCUGGCUAUCAUGUGUUUGAAGAUACCCUAAACUUAACCUAACCUAACCUAACCUAACAAACCCCAAACAGUCACUAUAGGUCUUGACUCAGAAAAUUCAUAUAUGCUUCCUUACUAAUGAGACUUUCUAUACAACAAAGUGAGGUCAUUCUGUGUUGAGUUAUACCACUACUACCACUACUACUACUACUACUACUACUACUAUUACUAC